AUGAAUGCCAAACAUGAUUGCCAAAAUACUCGCAAAGGUGUCCAGUGUGAGGUGCAGCUGGUGGAGUCUGGGGGAGACCUGGUGAAGCCUGGUUGGUCCCUGAGACUCUCCUGUGCGGCCUCUGGAUUCACCUUCAGCAGUAAUGCCAUGAGCUGGGUCUUCCAUGGGCUGCAGUGGGUCUCACAUAUUAGCAACGAUGGAAGUAGCACAAGCGACGCAGACUCUGUGAAGGGCCAAGUCACCAGCUACAGAGAUGACACCAAGAACACGCUGUAUCUGCAGAACAGCCUGAGAACUGAGGAAAUGGCUGUAUAA